rnacentral:rRNA from 1 species
CCUACGGGAGGCAGCAGUGAGGAAUAUUGGUCAAUGGGCGCGAGCCUGAACCAGCCAAGUAGCGUGAAGGAUGACUGCCCUACGGGUUGUAAACUUCUUUUAUAAAGGAAUAAAGUGAGGUACGUGUGCCUUUUUGAAUGUACUUUAUGAAUAAGGAUCGGCUAACUCCGUGCCAGCAGCCGCGGUAAUACGGAGGAUCCGAGCGUUAUCCGGAUUUAUUGGGUUUAAAGGGAGCGUAGACGGGUUGUUAAGUUAGUGGUCAAAGUUUGCGGCUCAACCGUAGAACUGCAAUUGAUACUGGCCGUCUUGAGUGCAGGUGAGGUAGGCGGAAUUCGUGGUGUAGCGGUGAAAUGCUUAGAUAUCACGAAGAACUCCGAUUGCGAAGGCAGCUUACUAAUCUGCCACUGACGUUGAUGCUCGAAAGUGUGGGUAGCGAACAGGAUUAGAUACCCCAGUAGUC